GCGUUGGUCUAUGCGUCUUCUUUUCUAGACAAAUAACCUUUCUCUCGAACAGGUUAGAUGUUAGAAUGGCGUGUUCUUGUGUUUGAACCGCAAAGAAUGUAGAUUUAAGAUGAAGAGAAUAAUGAUAUAAGCAAUAUACUUGUCUUGAACUCACAAACUCAUAGCUAUAGAUAGUAACUCAUUCGGCUUCCAUAACCCCAACUAAGAGAUUUAGUUACCCAUGAAUGCGAAGGAUAUCACGUUUUGCAUGGUGGAUGGCGUGAAUAGUAGGUGUUUGGCGUGUGGUUUUAGUGAUUCCGUAGCAAGUAACGAUUCUCUUGUUGUGGAAUUUAAGAGUAGAAGAAUGAAGAAUUGAGAAUGGGUUGUAGGAAGAUGUCUUAAUUGUAAGGAGAUGAAUGAAUUGUCAGAAUGUCUCCCUUCUUGAAAAUCUCUAACAUGAUAGGGUAUUUAUAAUACUCCUAUCCUACUCCUACUAAACUAAUAAAAUAAAUAACCAAAUCCUAAUAUACUAAUGAAAUCCUUGACCCAAUUGUACUAGGGUAAGGUUACAAAAUUAUAAUCCAAAUAGAAUGAUGAAACACAUAACCUAAUUGCACUAGGUUAAUGUAUUAUGGCAAAAAUCCAGCUUUGUGUCUGUAAGUCCCAAAGUCUUCAGAAAUGCUGUUUUAGCCCGGGACAGAUUUUCCAUGCAGCAGAUUUAGUCCUUUAUGCGUCCAGCUCCUUUCCAUCUCGUUUGUGAGCUUUCUUUUGCGUCAAGUAAGCCAUAAAUUGCUGUAUUUUGCAUCAUUUAUACCUGAAACUUUCCUAAUCACAUUUGUUAGCUCAUUUACAGGAAAAAGGACUAAAAGUGUACGAAAUAGAUAAUUAGUUCUCGAAACUAGGCUAAAAUAUGGGCAAAAUAUAUUGAUAUAGGCGCGUAAUUUCGCCUAUCAUCAACACCCCACACUUAGAGCUUUGUUCGUCCUCGAACAACAUAUCAUGUCCUUCUAAGCAUUGACUUAAGGUUUUUACAGAAACAACACAAAACAUUCUUCAAGACAAGCACAACAAUUAUCAACGAAGAGUAGCUUUCCGAUUAUAAGUAGAAACAAUUUAACCUCAAGCAUAGACUCGUGAUGGUGAUCAACUCGCAUGCAAACGUUUAAGGUACAUAGAAUCAUAUACAACUAUCCAAAACUCAUCAACCAUGUGUGUCUCACAAUAUAGUACCCAUAAUCACUCACAAGUAUAGCAUAUUUUUCAAACAUGGGCAGCAAAGUAUCCUUGCGCUCACUCUCACAAAGAAUUCAUAUGUAGCAGCUAAUGACCAUAGGCUUGCCCUUAAUGUAGUACUCCACUAAAUGUCGGAAUGUUAAGGUUAGGAUCAAGUAGGUCUUUUGAUGGUUGUAAUGUAGGCUAAGGGACGGGUAGGAUCAACUAUUUUGGCCAGAAAUAGUGACUAAGUUCCUAAGCACUUUAAUACAUCACAUUGUAUUAUUGACACUUUUUUGUAGCACCCUUGUUCUCCUCUUUUGUUUUUCAAUUUUAAAGCACAACUCACUUUUCAGCUUUCUUUUCCUUUUUCUUCUCACAACAUACCUCUUAUGAUAGCACUUUCUUUUUCAUAACAUAUUCAAGCACCAUUACAAUUUAAAGCAUCAUACUCAACCAAUUUCCUCUUAUGUUGUCACAUGACUUUUUCACUUUAAAGCACUUAGGAAUUUGGAUCAAAUUACGGUCUUGAAAAAAAAAUGAAUUAGGCUUACAUACAAGGUUGUCAAAGAAAUAGGCUAAAGGCUCAAAAGGGUUUAACUAGGAUGAUGUCCAUGGGUAGGUAAAACUGAAGGUAAACAAAUAUAGGUUGCCAAAGAAAUGCCUAAAUCAUAUCCUAAACUUACACUCCUUAUUUUCGCUUUGCAUACAUACCAGGCAAGUUCUAGCAUCAGCCACAUACAUAGAAUAUACUAUUAUCUCACACACACAAGGCACAUGGUCGACUUGAUUGGUAGCAAUAUAGACUCUCAACCCAACAAGUGAAGGAAUUGAAUCACACACUAUCACAUAAUGAGUCACAACUAGAGCCUAAAUGUCUCAAUAGUCACAAUUGUAAUACAUACUAUUGUUAUAAUCUCAUGCUGCCUAUUAAAAUAAUUUCAUGCGAGGCUAGAAAAAUUUUAACUACUAAAAACUAAAAAAAAAACGUCACACGAAAAAAAUCACAAAAAAAAAUCGGACUCAAAACAAAAUAAAUAAAACAAAAUAAACAAGCAAACAUACAAAUAUAGCAUGCAGAUUCUGCCGACACCCCACACUUAGACUAGACACUGCCCUCAGUGGAAAAUAAAGUCGAAGAACCUGAUUAGUCGGACUCUUCCUCAAUGUCAUACCCCCUUCGUUCGAGUCAUCGUAAGAGUCAUCGUCAGAGUUCUCCUCAGCAUCAGAAUCAGGCAAGCGUCUAUCAUCAUCAGUUGGCACGUCAUCAUCAAGAGGUUCCUCGAAAUAUACUCCCACUCCACACAUCUCCCGGGCAUGUCUGUUCAUUGGGUAGUCGUGGUCCAGCUGUUGGAGCUCUUCAGCAGUUGGAAUACGUCCACCACUCAUCAUAGUGAAUCUCGUCAUGCCAUAGAGAUGACGGAAGAAACUCUCGUCACGAGCAUGUCUCUCCGCAGUGGUAAGGUUGACUCCAUGCGUUGUUUCAGCAUCUUUGACCUUGGUGAGGUCAACCUUCUUUGGGGUAUGUGGGAGUUUGUGGUCAGCUGGUUCCUCCUCUAUAUCCUCCUUCCGCAACAUUGCUGUCAACAAAUUGCCGAAUGUGAAAUAGGACCAUUCACAUUCACAUCAGUCUGGCUUUCCUCAUGGUGGAUCGAAUGAUUGCCCCAAAGUUGAUAGGGACAUUCGUCAUUAAUGAAUAAACCAGGCACACUCUAUCUCUCGAUAUCUUUGUGUAUUGCGUCCCAGGAAUGAGGCAUGAGUUGACAAUGCGCAUCCAGAUUCUUGCUUCCCUAUUUAGUGGAGCAUAGGGGAAUGUGUUGUGACGGCCUGUUUCCUUAUGUCUGCCCCAUCUCGCCAUCGAUCUGCUUCCACAAAGCGUGUGUCUUAUAGCUCUGUAAGGAGGUCUGCUGUACAGCUCUUUGUAUGGUGCAGUGUCGACCGAAGGUAGGCCUAGAAACGAGUUGAUCCAAUCCGCUGUAAGCUGUAACACUUGGCCCCGAAUUUUGACUUCGUUGCCUGUUGUGUUUGGCGACCAGUUGGCAUAAAACUCUCUUGUCAAGUCAAGAUUGCACUCUCCCAUGUCACGGAAGAUGAAAUCCAGCUUCAAAGCCAUAAUCUUAGCCAACAUUUGCGGCUCCUUCUUUGCUAAGGUCUCCUUAUUGAUUAAGUCGACGUGCACAUAUUUCUUUUCUUUGUUGCUGCUGUACCAUGCCUUGGCUUCUUCCUCAAGAACCCAUUUGAUUCCGAACAUUCUGCGUGGUAGGUGUGCGGAAGAUGAUUCGCCUUGGUCUUUUCGGCUUCUCUUUUUGUCCUUGCGGGUUGUGGUAGCCUUCUCCUUGCCUUGCCUUGCUUUCGGUGCCAUUGUACCGCCUUUACCAUACAACGCGACCAAAUCGUCAAUUGAAAUCAAUCUCCUCGUUGCAUACUUCUUACACCUAUAUUUGCUCAAACAAAUGAAAACGAUUAGUACGAUGGGUUGCCUCCCACCAAGCGCCUUAGUUUUGGUCGUGGCACGACUCUUAUUUUUGGAUUUUCAUUUAUCAAAAAGAAAAAAUACUAAAACGACAAAACGAUAAAACAAUAAAACGAAGGGUUGCCUCCCAUCUAGCGCCUUAUUUAUUGUCGUGGCUCGACGUAGUAAUCUCGAGUACUUAGACUUCGUCGAGAUAAGUGAUGGCCAUGUCAUUUAUCGAGUCAAGAGGACCGAUAUAUGGCUUAACACGUUGGCCAUUCACCUUGAAGAUAACACCCUCAUUAUUUUCCAAUUCGACUACUCCAAACGAGUAGACGUGGGUGACUUUAAAUGGACCAGACCACUUUGAUUUUAACUUACCUGGGAAGAGCUUGAAUCUGGAGUUAAAGAGUAGCACCAUGUCACCUUUUUGGAAGUGUCGUCGAACAAUCCGCUGAUCGUGAUACUUCUUCAUCCGCUCCUUGUAUAAAUCUGAUCUUUCAUAAGCAUGGAGACGGAAUUCAUCUAGCUCGUUCAGCUGCUCCAACCUCAGGUUCUUCACAUCAUCCCAAUUCAGAUUCAAGUGCUUCAAUGCCCAUAAUGCCUUGUAUUCAAGCUCGAUGGGUAGAUGACAAGCCUUCCCAUAAACUAGCUGAUAAGGUGACAUGCCAAUGGGUGUCUUGAAUGCAGUCCUAUACGCCCAUAGUGCAUCAUCUAGCUUCCGAGACCAAUCCUUCCGAUUCGCAUUGACCGUCUUGGCAAGGAUUUGCUUGAUCUCCCGAUUGGAAACCUCUACUUGUCCACUAGUUUGGGGAUGAUAAGGCGUAGCUACCUUGUGUUGCUUGACUCCAUACUUGGCCAAUACAGAUUUGAAUAGCUUGUUGCAGAAGUGAGAUCCUCCAUCACUUAUGAUAGUACGAGGUACCCCAAAGCGAGAGAAGAUAUUCUUCUUUAAAAACGCUACAACACGCUUUCCUUCAUUAUCGGCCAAUGCUACAGCUUCAACCCAUUUCGACACAUAAUCCACAGCAACCAAGAUGUACUUCAUUCCAAACGAAUUUACGAAUGGUCCCAUGAAAUCAAUACCCCAUACAUCAAAGAGUUCUACCUCCAGGAUUGUGGACAUGGGCAUUUCAUGGUGUUUUGAAAUAACACCUUGACGUUGGCAUUGGUCACACCUUCUCACAUAGUCGUGUGCAUCUCUGAAUAUUGUAGGCCAAUAAUAACCACUUUGCAAGACUUUUCUUGCUGUUCGAUUACCCGCAUGAUGUCCUCCAACUUGCGAAGUGUGGCAUGCUUCUAAUAUAGUGGGCACUUCGUCAUGGGAUAUACAUCGUCGAAUGAUACCAUCCGCACAUCUUCGAAACAAAUAAGGCUCAUCCCAAUAAUAGUGCUGAACGUCAUGCAUAAACUUCCUCCUCUGGUGGUAAGAUAAAUUUGUAGGUAACACAUUACUCACCACGAAAUUCGCAAAGUCGGCAUACCAUGGUAAGUCUUCUAUUGUUGUCGCUAAUAUCUCCUCGUCAGGGAAUGCAUCGCCAAUCUGAUUUUCUGAUUGCGCCACAUACUCAUUCUCAAGUCUAGAUAGGUGAUCAGCCACUUGGUUCUCGCAACCUCUUCUAUCUUUGACUUCGAAAUCAAACUCUUGCAGCAGCAACACCCAUCGAAUCAGCCUUGGUUUUGCAUCCUUCUUUGUCAUUAGAUACCUAAGAGCUGCAUGGUCUGUAUGAACGAUCACUUUAGUACCUAAUAGGUAGGCGCGGAACUUCUCAAACGCAUACACAACCGCUAAUAGCUCUUGUUCAGUGACGGUGUAGUUCCUUUGGGCUUCAUUGAGGACCUUACUCGCAUAGUAGAUAGGAUGAAAUAAUUUCUCCUUUCUCUGUCCAAGAACAGCACCAACGGCUACACCACUAGCAUCACACAUGACUUCGAACGGGAGCGUCCAAUCUGGUGUUACCAUGAUAGGGGCUUCAACGAGUUUUUCUUUAAGGCAUUCAAAUGCCUUUAAGCAAUCAUCAUUAAAGUCAAACUUCGCAUCUUUCUCCAAUAGCUUGCAUAAUGGACUAGAAAUUUUGGAGAAGUCUUUGAUGAAUCUACGAUAAAACCCAGCAUGGCCAAGAAAACUACGAACUCCCUUCACCGAAAUUGGAGGUGGUAGCUUCUCAAUUACCUCUAUUUUGGCGCGAUCAACCUCUAUUCCUUUUUCGGAGAUCUUGUGCCCAAGAACAAUUCCUUCUUUUACCAUGAAGUGGCACUUCUCCCAAUUCAGCACAAGGUUGAACUCUACACAUCUUUGUAAUGCCAUGCUUAAAUUCACCAAACAUGCUUCGAAAGACUCCCCAACAACUGAAAAGUCGUCCAUAAAUACCUCCAAAGUGUCUUCUACCAUAUCAGAGAAAAUAGACAUCAUACAUCGCUGAAAGGUGGCUGGUGCAUUACAUAACCCGAAUGGCAUACGUUUGAAGGCAAACGUACCAUAUGGGCAUGUAAACGUUGUCUUCUCUUGGUCUUCUGGUGCAAUAAAAAUCUGAUUAUAACCUGAAUAACCAUCAAGAAAGCAAAACCAUCCUUUUCCCGCUAAUCGAUCUAGCAUUUGGUCCAUAAAUGGCAUGGGGAAGUGAUCCUUGAGAGUCCAAGAAUUCAGCUUGCGGUAGUCCAUGCAUACUCUCCAUCCAGUGACGGGCCUGAGUGGAAUAAGCUCAUUCUUUGCAUUCGCAACCACCGUCAUACCUCCUUUCUUGGGAACACAUUGUACUGGGCUUACCCAUGUACUAUCAGAAAUAGGAUACACAACUCCUGCGUCUAACCACUUGAUAAUCUCCUUCUUCACCACCUCUUGCAUUGGUGGGUUUAGACGUCUUUGGUGUUCGAUGGUGGGUGUGCACUUUUCUUGGAGCUGAAUUUUAUGAGUGCAAAUUCCAGGUGGAAUACCAAGGAUAUCCGCAAUGGUCCAUCCAAUAGCUCUAAUAUACUUGCGUAAAAUUGCAAUAAGAGCUGCAACUUGUUGCUCACCUAAAUCGGCUGCCACUAUGACUGGAAGAGUGUUUCCGCUUCCUAAGAAUGCAUACUUCAAAUGGCUUGGCAGCUCCUUUAAUUCUAAUGUGGGUGGUUCUUCAAUAGAUGGCUUAGCUGGUGGUGUGGGUCGAUUCUUGAGAUCAAGAUCCAGCUUCUUAGGAGGAUAGCGAUAUGCUCCUAAUCCCGAUAGAGCACAAAUAUCAUCUUCAGAAAUUUCAGCAUCAUCAUCAUCUUCUUCCAUGAGCAAAACCUCCAAAGGAUCAUCAAGAAUUUGUUCUUCAGCAAGUAACUCAUCCUCGUCAUCAACGACAACAUCAGUCACAGAAAAUACACUUAGAUCUUUGGGUUGCUUCAUUGAUUUGCAAACAUCAAAGCGCACCACUUCAUCAUUUAUUCGGAAUGAAAGUUCAUUAGCUCUCAAAUCUAUGAGCACACUUCCCGUAGCAAGGAAAGGGCGUCCCAAGAUUAUGGGAACCUCUGAAUCUGCUUCGCAAUCCAAGAUGACAAAGUCUGCUGGAAAUAUGAAUGAAGAUACCUUCACCAAGACAUCGCAUAGAAUACCAACCGGUCGUUUUACCGACCUAUCCGCCAUAACAAGCUUCAUAUUAGUUGGUGUAGGAUCUCCCAACCCCAACUUCUUGUAGAUUGAUAAUGGCAUCAAGUUGAUGCUGGCUCCUAAGUCACAUAAUGCUUUAGCAAAGUCCAAAGAUCCGACGGUGCAAGGAAUAGUGAAAGCUCCGGGGUCGGCCUUCUUCUGAACUAUGGAUCGGGUAGCUAUUGCACUACAAUGAUGCACAUCUUCUUUCAGCUCAUAGCUUGCUGCCCUCUUCUUAGUCAAAAGAUCUUUCAUAAACUUCGCAUACCCAGGCAUUUGUUCAAGUGCCUCUACCAAUGGGACAUUAAUAGUCAGCUGCUUCAAGAUGGUCAUGAACUUGCUGAACUUAGUGUCAUCGGCCGCCUUCUUCAGUCUUUGUGGAAAAGGUGGUGGUGGGUAUGGAAGUGUUCUUUCCAUGGCUUUCUUCUCCUCUUGCUUCCGUUUAUUACUUUUUUCAGGCUGCACGUCACUAGGCAACACGUCCUUGACGUUGGAAGUGGAUAUUGCGGCGUCUUCCCUAGUGGCGUCACUAGGUGUGGCGGUUGUGUCUGCUGUUCUGUCAACUAUUUGCUUGCCUUCUGCUGAAGUUUCCAGCACCUUACCACUCCUCGUAGUGAUGGCCAUGCAUGACCCAUCAGUCCUUGGAUUUUGCACCGUAUCGCUAGGCAAGGUGCCGGCUUUUCUUUGGUUGAGUGUUGCUGAAAGUUGACUGAAUUGCUGCUCUAGUUGCUUGAUAGAAGUGGAAUGAGAAUCAACUAAUUGCUUCAUGGAGGCCAAAUCGUCAAUCACCUCCUUAACUCCCGCAUUCGUCGCUUCCACUCCUUUCAAUAACUUAGCCAUCAUGUCUUCCAUAGAAUUAGAUGUGGUGGUAUCACGUCUACCAGGGGGAACGUACAAACCACUGUUUUCAUUAUUUUUCUUCCAACUACCUUGGUCUUUACCUCCAGAUUUGUCAUAAUAGUUCCGACCUUGGUUUCCUUGGGCAUUCCCACGGAAACCCCCCUGAUUGUUCAAGUAGUUGGCCUCCUCUUCUGAAUCAGAUUCGUCUCUUCCUUUUGACGCAAUAGAUUUCACUUUUUCAGUCUUCCCUAAUAGAUGCUUUGUAAGAAGAUCCAUUUGGGUUUUCAUGUGCGCCAUAUCUUGAUCACGUUCUUCUUCUCUCCUUCUUUGAUCUGCAGACAUGCCAAUAGAUAAAGUGGGGCUUGCUACCUCAGAAUCCCUGGUAUGCCAAGCUCUACUUUGUUUCGUCAUACGAUCUAGCAUGUUGCUUGCUUGACCAAAGGUGAGGUCCAUAAAAGAACCUCCAGCUGCGUUGUCCACCACUGGUUUAGUUACUGAAUUCAAGGCUCUAUAUAAGAUCUCCAUGAGGUGAACAUUAGUCAUGUGAUGGUUUGGGCAUCUCGCUAGCUUUGUCUUGAACCUCUCCCAUGUUUCGUGAAGAGCUUCAGAGGGAAGCUGACGAAAGUUGCUGAUUUCAUCUCUCAAUUGAGCCCUCUUGGAUGGCGGAAAGAAUCUUUCUAGGAAAGCGUCUCUCAAUUGCCUCCAAUUUGUAAUAGAAUCAGGAGUCAGCCCAUUCAACCAUAAUGUUGCCUCCCCAGACAGAGACAAUGGAAAUAGACGUAAUCGAAUAGCAUUCUGACCAACUCCAGGAUUGUCAAAAGACUUGCAUGUAGAAAUAAAGUUGAUGAGAUGCAUAUUCGGAUCAUCGCCUGCUAGUCCACCAAAUAAUCCCUUGAGUUGCAAUAACUGAAUCAUGGUGCUAGUGAUGUUGAACUUGGCUCCGGGCGCUAAUGGUGGUGGAAUUAUAGCUCCAGUGGCUCCGGCACCAUCAAGAUCAUCAUCAUCAUCGUCGAAAGCUGGUUGCAAAGGUUGGCGAUCAUAUCUGUACCGAGCUUGUCGACCUCGUCUGUUGGUAGGUGUUGCCAUUUCAGCGCCAUGCCUUGGGUUGAUCAACUCGUCAUCUCCUAAAUCUUCAUCGUCAGGAUUUGUUGCUCGUCCAGGAUUAUCAAUGUUUUGUUGUUGGACUUGAGCAGCGGCAAGAGCAGCUAAUCUUGCUUGCUCAUGUUGAGCAGCCAUCCUGUCGAUUUCCGCUUGUGCUUCCAUUCUUCUGAUUCGUUGUGGUUCCGGAUUGAUUGGUAAUAACGGUUGACCAGAACUUCUAGUAUGGGGCAUGCACUAAAAGAAAAACCUGCAAUAAACAAAAACAAAAACUAAACGUAAAAGUACGAGAAUCUUUGACCAAAGGGUCUAGUAAUUUUCACGAACUUGAUUGACACUCGUAUUCCCCGGCAACGGCGCCAAUUUUUGAUAACGCUCAAUCUACAGCUCUCGUGGGAGUGUAAAGCGGUCGUUAGCAAAUAUAGAACCCAACCUGGGUUGGGUAUCGAUCCCACAGAGAAUAGCUUGGCCAACAAGCAAGAAAAAUUACUAGACUUUUAGUGCAAGUCUCGUAGGAAAGGGGGGAUUGUAGUAUGUAACCAAAACAAGAAUGUAAGAACUGAAAAUAGCAAAAUAAAGAGAGAUUGUCACGUGUGUUGUAAACAAUGAGAAUUGAGGCGUUGGGGUUAUGUCCACCUUCUGAGGUAUACGUCUCUAUUGGCUAUGAGUGUGUAGAGUCUUGACAUGUAAUUGCUUAUAGAGAAUUGUAGUCGAUGGUAAAUCCAAGCGUCUCUCGACCUAAACAAGGACUAUUUCACUUUAACUCUCUCGAGCUUAAAGCGUGACUAACGGUACGAAUUCUCCAAGAAGUUAGUCCAGGUACGGCACUAGCUUUUUAAUAGGAAAGGGUGUCCUACUACCUUGACAUUAUCUCUUUUCCAGACAAAUAACUUUUCUCUCGAACAAGUCAGAUGUUAGACUGGCGUUGGUCUAUGCGUCUUCUUUUCUAGACAAAUAACCUUUCUCUCGAACAGGUUAGAUGUUAGAAUGGCGUGUUCUUGUGUUUGAACCGCAAAGAAUGUAGAUUUAAGAUGAAGAGAAUAAUGAUAUAAGCAAUAUACUUGUCUUGAACUCACAAACUCAUAGCUAUAGAUAGUAACUCAUUCGGCUUCCAUAACCCCAACUAAGAGAUUUAGUUACCCAUGAAUGCGAAGGAUAUCACGUUUUGCAUGGUGGAUGGCGUGAAUAGUAGGUGUUUGGCGUGUGGUUUUAGUGAUUCCGUAGCAAGUAACGAUUCUCUUGUUGUGGAAUUUAAGAGUAGAAGAAUGAAGAAUUGAGAAUGGGCUGUAGGAAGAUGUCUUAAUUGUAAGGAGAUGAAUGAAUUGUCAGAAUGUCUCCCCC
rnacentral:lncRNA from 1 species